UGAGCAUUAAAAGAUAGCAGCUGUCAAGACUGUUUGGUGAGUUAACAACGCGUGAUUGGAAGGCAAUUUUGGAAAAUUGUUUGUUUUUUUCCAAAUAACAGUGAUCUUCGAAUAUACCGUUCUGUUUGACAACCAAGAAUGGUGAGAAAUCAUUCUGGAAUAUUGGAAAACCGUGGUCAGCCAAGCGAUGAAAACUACAAUUUCUGAACGACACAAGCAAUGUUGGGCUUGUAUUAUGUUUAUAAUAAAAUAACAGUAUUCCCAAGAA